GAUGCAGGCCCGAAGAGGCGGAGGGGAGAGGACGCGGGAAGCCAGUGUGCCCCGGACGCAGUGUCCUAGCGCUCAUCGGGUCAUCCUCUGCAGCCCAGAUUGUCCCUGUCCAAGACUGCGGAAUGAAGAAUCCAGAACCUGUGUGUAAGUCCUCUCUGGUCAGCAAAGGAAUCUGUGCAGAGCGCCAUGAAUUAGAGGAUGGGGGAAUGAGUGCUUGAAGAUGCCCGAGGUAUGGUCCUUAUCCGUGUGACAUUUGGAGGUCCAGGUGAGAAAUCAGGGUUGAAAACUGCAUGGAGGAUUCAUCAUUUCUGCCCUGAAUUGGAAUCAAUUCCUUAUUGACUUAUUAUUACUGUAUUAAAAGUGUUUUUAAUUAACCAUGGUA